rnacentral:rRNA from 1 species
CACGUAGGGCGCAAGCGUUGUCCGGAAUUAUUGGGCGUAAAGAGCUCGUAGGCGGUCUGUUGCGUCCGCUGUGAAAACUCGGGGCUUAACCCCGGGCCUGCAGUGGGUACGGGCAGACUAGAGUGCGGUAGGGGAGACUGGAAUUCCUGGUGUAGCGGUGGAAUGCGCAGAUAUCAGGAGGAACACCGGUGGCGAAGGCGGGUCUCUGGGCAGUAACUGACGAUGAGGAGCGAAAGCGUGGGGAGCGAACAGG